UGGUAGUCGUAGCUGUUCUUGAAAUUCCCCACCGGUCGGAGAACGAUUCCCGGAAACUCCGUGUCCAUCGCGAUGUACGGGUAAUCGUCCACGAUUUCCCGGAUCAACGCGAACUCCUCUUCCAGGUUAUCGUUCCACACCUCGCGAAUCUCGAUCGAGUCGCUUUUCGCCAAAAUCAGCGGCAUUCCUUGCAAUCACUCCACCGGAUCUGUUAAUGUCAAUGUCAAAUUCAAAUUCAAAUUCAAUCAGAAUCAGAAUCAGAAUCAUCCAAUCGAUUAAUUAAACGAAAUUAAAUGAAUUGAAUUUCGUUACCACCUGGGUCGGGGAAGGAAGUUGAGGAGGAGGAGAGAGAGGGAAGAGAUUUGUGGGGGAAUGAAAAUCUCUCCCGUGUUAGGGUUUUCUUUUUUCUUUUGUUAUCAAAAG